rnacentral:rRNA from 1 species
UACGUAGGGGGCAAGCGUUGUCCGGAAUUACUGGGCGUAAAGCGCGUGUAGGCGGGACGACAAGUCCGGCGUGAAAGGCUUGGGCUCAACCCGAGAUGGCCGUUGGAAACUGUCGUUCUUGAGGGUCGAAGAGGAGAGUGGAAUUCCUGGUGUAGCGGUGAAAUGCGUAGAGAUCAGGAGGAACACCCAUGGCGAAGGCAGCUCUCUGGUCGACCUCUGACGCUGAGAAGCGAAAGCAUGGGGAGCGAACAGG